rnacentral:rRNA from 1 species
UACGUAGGGGGCAAGCGUUGUCCGGAUUUAUUGGGUUUAAAGGGUGCGUAGGCGGCCCUGUAAGUCAGUGCUGAAAUAUCCCGGCUUAACCGGGAGGGUGGCAUUGAUACUGCAGGGCUUGAGUGAAGUCGAGGUAGGCGGAAUUGACGGUGUAGCGGUGAAAUGCUUAGAUAUCGUCAAGAACACCGAUAGUGAAGACAGCUUACUAGGCUUAUACUGACGCUGAGGCACGAAAGUGUGGGGAUCAAACAGG